CACGUAGGGUGCGAGCGUUGUCCGGAAUUAUUGGGCGUAAAGAGCUCGUAGGCGGUGUGUCGCGUCGGCCGUGAAAACCUGCAGCUUAACUGUGGGCUUGCGGGCGAUACGGGCAGACUGGAGUACUGCAGGGGAGACUGGAAUUCCUGGUGUAGCGGUGGAAUGCGCAGAUAUCAGGAGGAACACCGGUGGCGAAGGCGGGUCUCUGGGCCGAUACUGACGCUGAGGAGCGAAAGCGUGGGGAGCGAACAGG
rnacentral:rRNA from 1 species